rnacentral:rRNA from 1 species
UUUUUGAUWAUAWUUUAAAGUAAGGCCUGCCCMCUGAUUUAUUUGAAGGGCCGCAGUAUUUUGACUGUGCAAAGGUAGCAUAAUCAUUAGUUUUUUAAUUGAAAGCUUGAAUGAAGGGUUAAAUGAAAAAAAUUCUGUCUCAUUUAAAAAAUUAAAAUUUUAUUUUUAAGUUAAAAAGCUUAAAUAUAUUUAAAAGACRAGAARACCCUAUARAGUUUUAUUAUGAAAAUAAAAUUUUUAUAUARAAUUUAAUAAAAAUUUUUAUCUAAUAAUUUAGUUGGGGKGACUUAAAAAUUUARWAAACUUUUUAAUUAAAAUUACAUUAAUUUAUGAAUUUUUGAUCCNUAAAAAUGAUUAAAAGAAUAAAUUACCUUAGGGAUAACAGCGUAAUUUUUUUUUAAAGUUCAAAUUAAAAAUAAAGAUUGCGACCUCGAUGUUGGAUUAAAGUAAAUUUUUGGUGUAGAAGCUAAAAUAUUAGGUCUGUUCNACCUUUAAAACUUUACA